UACGUAGGGACCAAGCGUUGUCCGGAAUCAUUGGGCGUAAAGCGCGCGUAGGCGGCCUCAUAAGUCCGUUGUGAAAGUCAAAGGCUCAACCUUUGAAAGCCGAUGGAUACUGUGAGGCUAGAGUCCGGAAGAGGCGAGUGGAAUUCCUGGUGUAGCGGUGGAAUGCGCAGAUAUCAGGAGGAACACCAAUAGCGAAGGCAGCUCGCUGGGACGGUACUGACGCUAAGGCGCGAAAGCGUGGGGAGCGAACAGG
rnacentral:rRNA from 1 species